rnacentral:rRNA from 1 species
UCGAGAAUCAUUCGCAAUGGGCGAAAGCCUGACGAUGCGACGCCGUGUGUGCGAUGAAGGCCUUCGGGUUGUAAAGCACUUUCGCCUGGGAACAAGGGAAGUUGGCAAAUAACCAGCAGACUUGAGGGUACCAGGUAAAGAAGCACCGGCUAACUACGUGCCAGCAGCUGCGGUAAUACGUAGGGUGCAAGCAUUAAUCGGAUUUAUUGGGCGUAAAGGGCGCGUAGGCGGGAAUGUAAGUCAGACGUGAAAUCCCGGGGCUCAACCCCGGAACAGCAUUUGAAACUGCAUUUCUAGAGGGUAGGCGGAGAAAACGGAAUUCCACAAGUAGCGGUGAAAUGCGUAGAUAUGUGGAAGAACACCGGUGGCGAAGGCGGUUUUCUAGCUUAUACCUGACGCUGAAGCGCGAAAGCAAGGGGAUCAAACAGGAUUAGAUACCCCGGUAGUCC